rnacentral:rRNA from 1 species
GACGAACGCUGGCGGCGUGCUUAACACAUGCAAGUCGAACGGAAAGGCCCUGCUUUUGUGGGGUGCUCGAGUGGCGAACGGGUGAGUAACACGUGAGUAACCUGCCCUUGACUUUGGGAUAACUUCAGGAAACUGGGGCUAAUACCGGAUAGGAGCUCCUGCUGCAUGGUGGUGGUUGGAAAGUUUCGGCGGUUGGGGAUGGACUCGCGGCUUGUCAGCUUGUUGGUGGGGUAGUGGCUUACCAAGGCUUUGACGGGUAGCCGGCCUGAGAGGGUGACCGGCCACAUUGGGACUGAGAUACGGCCCAGAGUCCUACGGGAGGCAGCAGUGGGGAAUAUUGCACAAUGGGCGGAAGCCUGAUGCAGCAACGCCGCGUGCGGGAUGACGGCCUUCGGGUUGUAAACCGCUUUAGCCUGUGACGAAGCGUGAGUGACGGUAAUGGGUAAAGAAGCACCGGCUAACUACGUG